AAUAUUUAUUAAUAAAUAAAUGAUAAAGCAAUCAAAACAUGUCAACACAUAGUAUAAUUGACAAUACCAAGCACAGUUAAACACAUUAGGUAAAAGAAAGAAACACAUAUAGCAGAAACCAUAAAAUCUUGAUUUCACAGUUUAAUGCAAUGAGAAAUGCAUGUUACAAAAAUAUAAAGUAAACAGAUUGCAUAUUUCAGAUCUAAAAAGUGUCAAAGAUGGGCAACAUCCACCUCUUUUAACUUAUUGAAUUUAUUUUUUAAAAAUGAAAUCCUAACAUUUUUUUGAAUAUUUUCAUAGCGCGGAGAUAGAAUGCUGUAUUAACUACUACCUAGAGAAUGGAUUAUGUAAAGUUUGUUACCCGGGCACUUAUGGCGAAAAUUGCAAUAAGCGAUGUCCAAAUAAAACAUACGGCUAUCAAUGUGGACAGAAAUGUAAAUGCAGCGUUAACAUCACUUGUGACAAACACUUCGGCUGUGUUGACCAAGACUGCCCUCCCGGAAAAUUUGGAAUGAAGUGUGAAGAUGAAUGUCCAAUAGGGACGUUUGGAAAAUUCUGUUCAGGAAUAUGCCAGUGCAACUCUGAGUGUGAUAAAAGAUUUGGAUGUCCAAGGAAGGCUACUUCAAGUUUUCAUGCAGGAAGAUUGCUCAUAGUUUUACCAACGAUUCUCGUAGCUAUCGCUCUUACUAUUU